rnacentral:rRNA from 1 species
GACGAACGCUGGCGGCGUGCUUAACACAUGCAAGUCGAGCGGUAAGGCCCUUUCGGGGGUACGACGAGCGGCGAACGGGUGAGUAACACGUGGGUGACCUGCCCUCAGCUCUGGGAUAAGCCUGGGAAACCGGGUACUAAUACUGGAUAUGACUCCAUGACGCAUGUUGUGGGGUGGAAAGCCUUGUGCGGCUGAGGAUGGGCCCGCGGCCUAUCAGCUUGUUGGUGGGGUGAAGCUUACCAAGGCGACGACGGGUAGCCGGCCUGAGAGGGCGACCGGCCACACUGGGACUGAGACACGGCCCAGACUCCUACGGGAGGCAGCAGUGGGGAAUCUUGCGCAAUGGGCGAAAGCCUGACGCAGCGACGCCGCGUGA